ACGAACGCUGGCGGCGUGCCUAACACAUGCAAGUCGAACGAGGUCCAUGUAGUGGCAACACUGCGGAAGACCUAGUGGCGAACGGGUGAGUAACACGUGAGGAACUUGCCCCGGAGACCGGGAUAACCCUCCGAAAGGAGAGCUAAUACCGGAUGUGCUCACUGAGUCGCAUGGCUCGGUGAGGAAAUGGAUUCCGCUCCGGGAGAGUCUCGCGGCCUAUCAGCUUGUUGGCGGGGUAACGGCCCACCAAGGCAUCGACGGGUAGCUGGUCUGAGAGGACGAUCAGCCACACUGGGACUGAGACACGGCCCAGACUCCUACGGGAGGCAGCAGUGGGGAAUCUUGCGCAAUGGGCGAAAGCCUGACGCAGCAACGCCGCGUGCGGGAUGACGGCCCUCGGGUUGUAAACCGCUUUCAGUGGGGACGAAACAAGACGGUACCCACAGAAGAAGCCCCGGCCAACUACGU
rnacentral:rRNA from 1 species